UACGAGUGGUGCAAACGUUAUUCGGAAUCAUUGGGCGUAAAGGGCGUGUAGACGGUAUGUUUAGUCUAUUGUUAAAUCCUUCGGCUUAACCGAAGACCAGCAGUAGAUACUGGCAUGCUAGAGGGUGGAAGAGAGAAGUGGAAUUCUCGGAGUAGCGGUAAAAUGCGUAGAUCUCGAGAGGAACACCAAUGGCGAAGGCAGCUUCUUGGUCCACUCCUGACGUUGAGGCGCGAAAGCGUGGGGAGCAAACAGGAUUAGAUACCCUGGUAGUCCACGCUGUAAACGAUGAUCACUGGACGUUAGUCUCGUUUUACGGGAUUAGUGUCGAAGCUAACGCGUUAAGUGAUUCGCCUGGGAAGUACGAUCGCAAGAUUAAA
rnacentral:rRNA from 1 species